UAUAAGGGUACGGGAGCUCUGCAAAGAAUAUAAUAUUCUUUUUAAACUGAACACUGUUGUAAACAGUUAUAAUUGGGAGGAAAAUAUGGUUGAUCAAAUAAGAGAACUCAACCCUGCCAGGUGGAAAGUAUUUCAGUGUUUACCAAUCGAGGCAGAAAACAUGGGCCCAGGAGCGCUUCGCAAAGUUGAAAAGUUUCUGAUCUCUGGAGAACAGUGGAACAUGUUUUUAGAACGGCUAUGAGGAAUUCCUACCUGAUUCUAGAUGAGUAUAUGAGGUUCUUAGAUAACACAGAGGGUAUGAAGACUCCAUCAAAAUCUAUUCUGGAUGUUGGUGUGCAGAAUGCCAUGAAUAAAUCAGGAUUUGACGAGGCAAUGUUCUACAACCGAGGAGGAAGAUAUAAUUGGUCUAAAGAAGCCUCCAAUUUAGACUGGUAGAUCAAGAAUAUUUCAGUGAAAAGAAAAAUGUUCUGGAUUUAUAUUGUAACCAAAGUUUAAAAUUGAAAAAAGUAUUAAUUCAAAAUA